UUUCUAUAACUAUCUAAACCUAAUACAUUCCUAUAUAUGAAAUGAAACAUACACACAUAAUUUCAAACAAUUCAAACAAUAUUCACACAAAAAAUAAUUCGAAGUACUCACACACUCGUAUGUCACAUCAACAUAUAUAUAUAUACAUAUGGGAACUGAUUCCCUAUACAGCUCUCUUAAUUUCAAUACCUGCCAGCGAUGUCAACUCAAGUUGAAUUUUCUCUUAAUAAUCCAAGUGCGG
rnacentral:misc_RNA from 1 species